UGGCGGCGUGGAUAAGACAUGCAAGUCGAACGCUGACAUUUAGGUAGCAAUAUUUGAAUGUUGGAGUGGCGCAAGGGUGUGUAACACGUGAGUAAUCUGCCGUGAAGUCUGGGAUAACUCGCUGAAAGGCGAGCUAAUACCGGAUGUGAAUGUAAAUUCAAAGUUGGGGAUCGCAAGACCUGACGCUUUACGAUGAGCUCGCGGCCUAUCAGCUAGUUGGUGAGGUAAUGGCUCACCAAGGCUAAGACGGGUAGCUGGUCUGAGAGGACGACCAGCCACACUGGAACUGAGACACGGUCCAGACACCUACGGGUGGCAGCAGUCGAGAAUUUGUCUCAAUGGGCGAAAGCCUGAAGGAGCGACGCCGCGUGGGGGAUGAAUGGCUUCGGCCCGUAAACCCCUGUCAUUUGCGAACAAAUUAACUCACUUAAUACGUGUGUUAUUGAUUGUAGCGGAAGAGGAAGGGACGGCUAACUCUGUGCCAGCAGCCGCGGUAAUACAGAGGUCCCAAGCGUUGUUCGGAUUCACUGGGCGUAAAGGGUGCGUAGGCGGUUUGGCAAGUCUGACGUGAAAUCUCCGGGCCUAACCCGGAAACUGCGUUGGAAACUGCUUGACUAGAGGAAUGGAGGGGAGACUGGAAUACUUGGUGUAGCAGUGAAAUGCGUAGAUAUCAAGUGGAACACCAGUGGC
rnacentral:rRNA from 1 species